rnacentral:lncRNA from 1 species
UGUGCACUCUCUCUAGCACACACACACACACACACACACACACACACACACACACACACACCAGGUUAUCAUUGUGUACCAUAGGCUGAUCUUGAACUUGAUAUGCAGUCCAGGUUGGACUCAAACUCUGUAAAAUUCCUGAUUCUGCUUCCCAAAUGCCGAGGCAUAUAGUAAAAUGCUUUGCUCAGUGCUUAUCUUUGAACUGAACCUCUUGUUUCUUCAACUAAGAAAUUGCACUUAGAGGGGAAACUCCUUCUAUUUCCAACAAGAUUUCUCCAAAGUGUUUUCUGGUAUUAAGACAAAAAUAAUCACUACCUGCCUGAGGCUCUCACAUUAUAUUAUCAUUAUUGUUAUUAUUAUUAUUACUUUUAAUUAUUUACAGUCCAGGCAUUAUCUCCCUCGAGGUUCACCCGCUAACAGCUCCUCAUCCCAUUCCUCCCCACUGUCUCCAAGAGGAUUGUCCCACCCCUCCAUCCCAGCCAGGCCUCCCAACUCUCUGGGGAAUUAGGCACGUCUUCUUCCACUGAGGCCAGACAAGGCAGUCCUCUGAUGUAUAUGUGUCAAGGACCUUGGACCAGCUAGUGCAUGCUCCCUAGUUGGUGGCUCAGUGUGCAAGUGAUCUCAGGGGUCCAGGUUAAUUGAGACUGCGGGUAUUCCUAUGGGGUCAUCCUCCUCCUCUGCUUCUUCCAGCCUUUCCUUAAUUCAACCACAGGGUUGCUGGACUUCCAUCCAUUGGUUGAAUGUAAGUAUAUGUGUCUGUCUCCAUCAGCUGCUGGUAGGGCCUCUCAGAGGACAGCCAUACUAGGCUCCUGUCUGUAAGCACAACAUAGCAUCAGUAAUAGUAUCUGGCCUUAGAGCCUUUGAGAUGGCUCCCAAGUUGGGCCAGUCACUUGAAUUCCUUUCCCUCAGUCUCUUCUCCAUUUUUGUCUCUGCAGUUCUUUUAGAUAGGAACAAUUCUGGCUCAGAGUUUUUGACUGUGGGAUGGCAACCCCAUCCCUCCACAGGGGCAGAAGGAGGGAAGGACCUGCUUGGGAGAGGGGACGAGAAGGGGGAAAAGGAAAGAUGAUCAGGUAUUGCGGGGUUGGAGAGAAGCCCUGAGUGCCAGCAAAAUGAGUGGAAAUAUGCAACAUCAGGGAUGGGAAGUGGGAGGACCCUCUAGAAAGUACCAGAAACCUAGGAGGUGAGAAAUCCUCAGGACACAAAGGAAGGGAACUUAGAUGAAAUUCCCAACAGUGGGGAGAGGGAAUUUGUAGUGUCCACCUCCAGUAGAAAGACUGCAUCACCAUGAGGCUCCCUCAUUUGAAAAGACAAGGGCCUGUUAGCAGAGAAAGGAUCUAGUCAAUUGCUCUGAGCUGACUGACUGAAUGCUUGUGUGAGAUGAUGGAAGAAACCUCCCUUGUGCCUCAGAUGUCUGUGAUGCAGCCUCCUUCCCAACUUAGUUCCUUCAUUGAUUCUAGUCUUCAAACCCAACCCCUAGGUUUGGUCCUGUGUUCUAAAAAACUUUAGGAUCUUCUGCCGUAUAAGCUAAAGAUGCAGAUAACUACCUAUAAUGAAAAUCAUAAGCAAUCUAAGUGCUCACAAAGAAGUAAAUAAACCCAUAUGUCAUGGUAAAAUUUAAACUAUUGGCUAUAUGAAUUUUAAACAGACAUUUAUAUAUAGUGACUUUGUGCAUCUGAAACACCAAAAUACAUAGGUAUGUUGAAGUGUCUUCAUAAAUUUAUUUUAAAACUACUGGAAAGGAAUAUACCAUUUGUGGAAAAUGAGAUGAAAUAGGUGCAGGAAUGUGUUUCUUUACUUGGUACAAUUGGGGUUGAAGUUGGAAUUGUGGAUAAUUUUAUCUUUUGCUGUCUUUAUAUUUUUUAUAAUAUAUUUUAUUUAAAAAUAGCUAAAAAGAGAAGAUUUUUUAGUAUUGUUCCUACAAAGAAGUGGUACAUGAUGAGAUAAGAAAUAUGUUAAAUAUCAUGAUUUUAUUAUAACAUCCACAUGUAUCAAAUUGUCACAAAGUCUCCCAUAAAUAUGCACAGUUAUUACCUGUUAAUUAAAAUUAAUUUUAAAGAAAUAAAGUAUGAAUAAAAAC